rnacentral:rRNA from 1 species
UGGGGAAUAUUGGACAAUGGGCGCAAGCCUGAUCCAGCAAUGCCGCGUGAGUGAUGAAGGCCUUAGGGUUGUAAAGCUCUUUCACACGCGACGAUGAUGACGGUAGCGUGAGAAGAAGCCCCGGCUAACUCCGUGCCAGCAGCCGCGGUAAUACGGAGGGGGCAAGCGUUGUUCGGAAUUACUGGGCGUAAAGGGCGCGCAGGCGGCUGCUCAAGUCAGGCGUGAAAGGCCUGGGCUCAACCCGGGAAUUGCGCUUGAGACUGGGCUGGCUUGAGUGCGGGAGAGGAUGGUGGAAUUCCCAGUGUAGAGGUGAAAUUCGUAGAUAUUGGGAAGAACACCGGUGGCGAAGGCGGCCAUCUGGACCGCAACUGACGCUGAGGCGCGAAAGCGUGGGGAGCAAACAG